rnacentral:rRNA from 1 species
GACAGAGGAUGCAAGCGUUAUCCGGAAUGAUUGGGCGUAAAGCGUCUGUAGGUGGCUUUUCAAGUCCGCCGUCAAAUCCCGGGGCUCAACCCUGGAAUGGCAUUGAAUACUGGUGGACUAGAGUACUGGAGAGGAAACUGGAAUUUACGGUGUAGCAGUGAAAUGCGUAGAGAUGUGGAGGAAUACCGAUGGCGAAGGCAGCCUCCUGGGCCAACACUGACGCUCAUGCACGAAAGCGUGGGGAGCAAACAGG